AUUGAACGCUGGCGGCAUGCCUUACACAUGCAAGUCGAACGGUAACAGGCCGCAAGGUGCUGACGAGUGGCGAACGGGUGAGUAAUGCAUCGGAACGUGCCCAGUCGUGGGGGAUAACUGCUCGAAAGAGCAGCUAAUACCGCAUACGACCUGAGGGUGAAAGCGGGGGACUCGCAAGAGCCUCGCGCGAUUGGAGCGGCCGAUGUCAGAUUAGCUAGUUGGUGGGGUAAAGGCCUACCAAGGCAACGAUCUGUAGUUGGUCUGAGAGGACGACCAGCCACACUGGGACUGAGACACGGCCCAGACUCCUACGGGAGGCAGCAGUGGGGAAUUUUGGACAAUGGGCGCAAGCCUGAUCCAGCAAUGCCGCGUGCAGGAAGAAGGC
rnacentral:rRNA from 1 species